AACGAACGCUGGCGGCGUGCCUAAUACAUGCAAGUCGAGCGAGAAAGCCUCUUCGGAGGUGAGUAAAGCGGCGCACGGGUGAGUAACACGUGGGCAACCUACCCUUGAGUCUGGGAUAACCCGGGGAAACUCGGGCUAAUACCAGAUACGGCUGCGGGGUCUUCGGAUCCUGUGGAGAAAGAUGGCCUCUUCUUGAAAGCUAUCUCUCGAGGAUGGGCCCGCGUCCUAUUAGCUAGNGGUGAGGUAACGGCUCACCAAGGCAAAGAUGGGUAGCUGGUCUGAGAGGAUGGCCAGCCACACUGGAACUGAGAC
rnacentral:rRNA from 1 species